UACGGAGGGGGCUAGCGUUGUUCGGAAUUACUGGGCGUAAAGCGCACGUAGGCGGUUUUGUAAGUUAGAGGUGAAAGCCUGGGGCUCAACUCCAGAAUAGCCUUUAAGACUGCAUCACUUGAACACGGGAGAGGUGGGUGGAAUUCCGAGUGUAGAGGUGAAAUUCGUAGAUAUUCGGAAGAACACCAGUGGCGAAGGCGGCUCACUGGACCGUUGUUGACGCUGAGGUGCGAAAGCGUGGGGAGCAAACAGG
rnacentral:rRNA from 1 species